CUUGGUCAUUUAGAGGAAGUAAAAGUCGUAACAAAGGUCUCCGUUGGUGAACCAGCGGAGGGAUCAUUACUGGAAUCGCAAGAUCCCACAACCCUCGUGAACCUACCGAAACGUUGCCUCGGCGGGCGCCCGGCCCUGCGCCGGGCGUUCAGCCCGCCGGUGGCCCACUACUCUGUCUCUGCAGCGUGGCAUCUCCGAGAAAUACAAAAAACAAAAUAAAAACUUUUAACAAACGGAUCUCUUGGCUCUAGCAUCGAUGAAAGAACGCAGCGAAAAUGCGAUAAAGUAAUGCGAAAUUGCAGAAAUUCCGUGAGUCAUCGAAUCUUUGAACGCACAUUGCGCCCGCCAGCAUUCUGGCGGGCAUGCCUGUUCGAGCGUCAUUGCAACCCUCAGGCCCUGCCUGGCGUUGGAGGACUGCGCACGCAGCCUCCCAAAGCAAGCGGCGGCGGCGCCCCAAAACCGAACGCAGUAGUUUUCUCUCGUUCUGGGUGUGGGACGUUGCCCGGCCGGAAAACCCCAUCUUCUUUAGUGGUUGACCUCGAAUCAGGUAGGAAUACCCGCUAGACUUAAGCAUAUCAAUAAGCGGAGGA
rnacentral:rRNA from 1 species